CUGAGUUAGUUCCAAACUCAAUCCAUACUCCAAGAUUUAAUAUGCUAAAUAUUGAAAUUAUUUGCAUCAACUUAAAAAGAAAC
rnacentral:lncRNA from 1 species